GACGAACGCUGGCGGCGUGCCUAAUACAUGCAAGUCGAGCGCAGGAAACUGACAGAACUCUUCGGAGGGAAGGCAGCGGAAUGAGCGGCGGACGGGUGAGUAACACGUAAGGAACCUGCCUCAAGGAUUGGGAUAACUCCGAGAAAUCGGAGCUAAUACCGGAUAGUUCAUCGGACCGCAUGGUCCGUUGAUGAAAGGCGCUCCGGCGUCACCUUGAGAUGGCCUUGCGGUGCAUUAGCUAGUUGGUGGGGUAACGGCCCACCAAGGCGACGCGGCCUAGCCGACCUGAGAGGGUGAUCGGCCACACCGGGACUGAGACACGGCCCAGACUCCUACGGGAGGCAGCAGUAGGGAAUCUUCCACAAUGGACGAAAGUCUGAUGGAGCAACGCCGCGUGAGUGAUGAAGGUUUUCGGAUCGUAAAACUCUGUUGUAAGGGAAGAACACGUACGAGAGGGAAUGCUCGUACCUUGACGGUACCUUACGAGAAAGCCACGGCUAACUACGUGCCAGCCGCCGCGGUAACAC
rnacentral:rRNA from 1 species